rnacentral:lncRNA from 1 species
GUGAGAGGAGUGCGAUUUGGCUUCAACUUGGAGCAUAAGAUAGGCUAGAAGAAGAAAAGAUGAGAGAGGGAGAGAGUGAAGUGGUGAAAAAGAAAGAAAAAGAAAAUAAGGGAGGGAGAGUGAAAGAUUAGAGAGUAAGGGAGGGAGGAUAUAUAAGAAAAUAGGAGAUAGUAGAGAAGGAGAAUGAUAUAGGAGAAAGCAAGAUGAGGAAGAGAGUGGAGUGAGUGAGGUAGAGUACGGUAUCCCUACGAUUUGGAAUAGUCAUACAUAUAAGGUAUAAUAGGACUAAAAUCUUUUAAUCUGGCUAUAUCAUUUUGCGCAGUGGUUAGGCUCAAGAGGUUAAGAGGGUUAAGCGUACUAGGGCUAGAGUACUUUUAGGAUAGGUGACCCUCCUGAAAGCGAGGCAUCACAGUUGGUAUUAGAGCUAAUUACCAGCCGAAAGUGUGAGAUGAGUUUUGGUUGAGCUAAGAUCACAUAGUGCGCAGAGCGUGGCUCCCUGGUUGAUGACCAAUGUGUGUGGAACAUAGUU